UAGGGAAUCUUCGGCAAUGGGCGAAAGCCUGACCGAGCGACGCCGCGUGGGGGAUGAAGGCCUUCGGGUCGUAAACCCCUGUCCCAGGGGACGAGGCAGGACGGUACCCUGGGAGGAAGCCCCGGCUAACUACGUGCCAGCAGCCGCGGUAAUACGUAGGGGGCGAGCGUUGUCCGGAAUGACUGGGCGUAAAGGGCGCGUAGGCGGUCAGCUAAGUCUGGUGUCAAAGCCCACGGCUUAACCGUGGAGGGGCGCUGGAAACUGGCUGACUUGAGUGCAGGAGAGGGAAGCGGAAUUCCACGUGUAGCGGUGAAAUGCGUAGAGAUGUGGAGGAACACCAGUGGCGAAGGCGGCUUCCUGGUCUGUCACUGACGCUGAGGCGCGAGAGCGUGGGGAGCGAACAGGAUUAGAUACC
rnacentral:rRNA from 1 species